rnacentral:rRNA from 1 species
AGAUUGAACGCUGCUCCAUGCUUUACACAUGCAAGUCGAACGGUAACAGGUUAUGCUGACGAGUGGCGAACGGGAGUAAUGCAUCGGAACGUGCCCGAUCGUGGGGGAUAACGCAGCGAAAGCUGCGCUAAUACCGCAUACGAUUCUGAGGAUGAAAAGCGGGGGACCGUAAGGCCUCCGCGAUCGGAGCGGCCGAUGUCAGGAUUAAGGUAGUUGGUGGGGUAAAGGGCUCACCAAGCCAACGAUCUGUAGCUGGUCUGAGAGGACGACCAGCCACACUGGGACUGAGACACGGCCCAGACUCCUACGGGGAGGCAGCAGUGGGGAAUUUUGGACAAUGGGCGCAAGCCUGAUCCAGCAAUGCCGCGUGCAGGAAGAAGGCCUUCGGGUUGUAAACUGCUUUUGUACGGAACGAAACGGUGAUCUCUAAUACAGAUUGCUAAUGACGGUACCGUAAGAAUAAGCACCGGCUAACUCUGUGCCAGCAGCCGCCGGUUAAUACAGAGGGUGCAAGCGUCUAAUCGGAAUUACUGGGCGUAAAGCGCCGCGUAGGUGGUUCGUUAAGAUUGGAUGUGAAAUCCCCCGGGCUCAACCUGGGAACUGCAUUUCAAAACUGUACGAGCUAGAGUUAUGGUAGUAGGGUGGUGGAAUUUCCUGUGUAGCGGUGAAAUGCGUAGAUAUAGGAAAGGAACACCAUGUUGGCGCAAAGGCGACCACCUCGGACUGAUACUGACACUGACGGUGCGAAAGCGUGGGGAGCAAACAGGAUUAGAUACCCUGGUAGUCCACGCCGUAAACGAUGUCAACUAGCCGGUGGGAGCCCUGAGCUCUUAGUGGCGCAGCUUACGCAUUAAGUUUU